rnacentral:rRNA from 1 species
UGGGGAAUUUUGGGCAAUGGGGGAAACCCUGACCCAGCAACGCCGCGUGAAGGAUGAAGUAUUUCGGUAUGUAAACUUCGAAAGAAUAGGAAGAAUAAAUGACGGUACUAUUUAUAAGGUCCGGCUAACUACGUGCCAGCAGCCGCGGUAAUACGUAGGGACCAAGCGUUGUUCGGAUUUACUGGGCGUAAAGGGCGCGUAGGCGGCAUGACAAGUCACUUGUGAAAUCUCUGGGCUUAACCCAGAACGGCCAAGUGAUACUGUCGCGCUAGAGUGCAGAAGGGGCAAUCGGAAUUCUUGGUGUAGCGGUGAAAUGCGUAGAUAUCAAGAGGAACACCUGAGGUGAAGACGGGUUGCUGGGCUGACACUGACGCUGAGGCGCGAAAGCCAGGGGAGCAAACGGGGAUUAGAUACCCGAGUAGUCCCUGAGCGGGCUGGCAAGGCGCAU